rnacentral:rRNA from 1 species
UUGAACGCUGGCGGCAUGCUUUACACAUGCAAGUCGAACGGUAACAGGCCGCAAGGUGCUGACGAGUGGCGAACGGGUGAGUAAUGCAUCGGAACGUGCCCAGUCGUGGGGGAUAACGCAGCGAAAGCUGUGCUAAUACCGCAUACGAUCUAUGGAUGAAAGCGGGGGACCGUAAGGCCUCGCGCGAUUGGAGCGGCCGAUGUCAGAUUAGGUAGUUGGUGGGGUAAAGGCUCACCAAGCCAACGAUCUGUAGCUGGUCUGAGAGGACGACCAGCCACACUGGGACUGAGACACGGCCCAGACUCCUACGGGAGGCAGCAGUGGGGAAUUUUGGACAAUGGGCGCAAGCCUGAUCCAGCAAUGCCGCGUGCAGGAAGAAGGCCUUCGGGUUGUAAACUGCUUUUGUACGGAACGAAACGGUCUGGGUUAAUACCCUGGGCUAAUGACGGUACCGUAAGAAUAAGCACCGGCUAACUACGUGCCAGCAGCCGCGGUAAUACGUAGGGUGCAAGCGUUAAUCGGAAUUACUGGGCGUAAAGCGUGCGCAGGCGGUUUUGUAAGACAGGCGUGAAAUCCCCGGGCUCAACCUGGGAAUGGCGCUUGUGACUGCAAAGCUGGAGUGCGGCAGAGGGGGAUGGAAUUCCGCGUGUAGCAGUGAAAUGCGUAGAUAUGCGGAGGAACACCGAUGGCGAAGGCAAUCCCCUGGGCCUGCACUGACGCUCAUGCACGAAAGCGUGGGGAGCAAACAGGAUUAGAUACCCUGGUAGUCCACGCCCUAAACGAUGUCAACUGGUUGUUGGGUAUUUACUUACUCAGUAACGAAGCUAACGCGUGAAGUUGACCGCCUGGGGAGUACGGCCGCAAGGUUGAAACUCAAGGAAUUGACGGGGACCCGCACAAGCGGUGGAUGAUGUGGUUUAAUUCGAUGCAACGCGAAAAACCUUACCCACCUUUGACAUGUACGGAAUUUGCCAGAGAUGGCUUGUGCUCGAAAGAGAACCGUAACACAGUGCUGCAUGCUGUCGUCAGCUCGUGUCGUGAGAUGUGGGGUUAAGUCCCGCAACGAGCGCACCCUGCAUAGUUAGUUGCUACGAAAGGGCACUCUAAUGGGACUGCCGGUGACAAACCGGAGGAAGGUGGGGAUGACGUCAAGUCCUCAUGGCCCUUAUAGGUGGGGCUACACACGUCAUACAAUGGCCGGUACAAAGGGCAGCCAACCCGCGAGGGGGAGCCAAUCCCAUAAAGCCGGUCGUAGUCCGGAUCGCAGUCUGCAACUCGACUGCGUGAAGUCGGAAUCGCUAGUAAUCGUGGAUCAGCAUGUCACGGUGAAUACGUUCCCGGGUCUUGUACACACCGCCCGUCACACCAUGGGAGCGGGUCUCGCCAGAAGUAGUUAGCCUAACCGCAAGGAGGGCGAUUACCACGGCGGGGUUCGUGACUGGGGUG